UGCUGCCCCGCUAGAAUUAAAGCGAUUU
rnacentral:piRNA from 1 species